UUUCCGUAGGUGAGCCUGCGGAAGGAUCAUUAAUGAGUUGUCAUGGGGUUCGAUGCUGGCAGCCAAUUUUUGGAUGCAUGUGCUUGCCCUAACAAUCAUCUUCCAAACACCUGUGCACAUUUUUGAGGGAGUCUUGAGUUGGUUGCCGCUCUUGGGUGAUUUUCUCACAUUCCCUUAAAUCAUUAUACGCUAUUAACAAUGUUGAACGUGCUCUGUGCCGCAAGGCUAUUAAUAUAAUACAACUUUUAACAACGGAUCUCUUGGCUCUC
rnacentral:misc_RNA from 1 species